AUACGUAGGGGGCGAGCGUUGUCCGGAAUUACUGGGCGUAAAGGGCGCGUAGGCGGCCUGAUAAGUCAGAUGUGAAAUCCCAAGGCUUAACCGUGGGUUUGCAUUUGAAACUGUUGGGCUUGAGGGCAGGAGAGGAAAGCGGAAUUCCCAGUGUAGCGGUGAAAUGCGUAGAUAUUGGGAGGAACACCAGUGGCGAAGGCGGCUUUCUGGACUGCAUCCUGACGCUGAGGCGCGAAAGCUAGGGGAGCGAACGGGAUUAGAUACCCCGGUAGUCCUAGCCGUAAACGAUGGGUACUAGGUGUGGGAGGUAUCGACCCCUUCCGUGCCGCAGUUAACGCAAUAAGUACCCCGCCUGGGGAGUACGGCCGCAAGGCUGAA
rnacentral:rRNA from 1 species